AACAAGUAAAAUCCCCCGUGAAUGGUUGGCAGAUGACUUCAAGCCAAUCACAAGGGAUUUUUCUUGUUUAAAAGUAGUGGCUUCAGCCAAUACCGAGUGAGUAAAUUCAAGUCGGGCCGUUACUCUAAAGAGGGGGGUUAUUGGGCACCCUGGCUCAUUAUAAAUGUAAACCCCAAUAAAUAAUAAUAAUAAUAAUAAUAAUAAAUAAUUUAUGUUAUCAUUUUUUAUAUAUUAAUGUCAUUGUGCUAUGUACUACAUUAUUCACAACAUCAAGGAAUAUAAGAAAAAGAAGUGAUUGAAGAAUUUGAAGAAACGCACCCAGCGAAUUUCAGUUCAGACAACGGUGAGCAUAAAUACAUAUUUUUUAUAUAAGCUUGGCUUGCUUUACGUAUGUUAUCAUUUUAAACAAUACUAAAACAUAUCAACAAGUAAAGUAAAAUAAAAUCAACAAGUUAAACAAAAACGUUGGAGUUAAAUGUGGUUGAUUAUCACUGUUGUUGUUAUUUUAAUAGUAAAUUAUAAUUGAAUAGGAAUAUCGCGUUAUAAUGCAUAACGUUAUCUUCUGUUUGUUGUUUUUCAGACGAAACAGCAGAUGACCAAAGCAUUCGUCUUUUCCUGGACAUCUCCUGUUGUGUGUGGAUGACUAUGUGGAUGAAGAGGGGGAAAUCCUUGCUGAGGAGCAGAGUGAACCCUAUCCUCACAUACAAGAUGGGGAGGAGCAUGGAAGUGAUCAGGCCAGAAGUGAAAAACCAGAACACUUGUUAAUGAAACUUUUGGGCAUGAUGAAAUUGACUGGUAUCCUCCGUGACGACUUCUUACAGUAUGUGGGUUGUCCAAAAUGUAUGACAGUGUACAUGCUUACUGAAACCUAUGAGCUCAGACGGGAUGGUACAAAGGUUUGCAGGACUUGUGGUCACAUCCCAUUCUAUAAUCACCCACAGCAGAGGUCUGCAUUAAGGAAGAAAUGUGGCUCUGCCUUGCUAAGCAAGACUACAUAUUUGAGCAGUGAAGAGUAUGUCCAUCCAAUACGUUCUUACUGAUACAAGAGUGUUGUGCAGUCUCUGGGAGGACUUGUUAAAAGACUUGGAUUUGAAGAGAAAUUAGAUGAAAGGCGAAAGCGGGAAAUGCCAAAGGGUGUGUUAGGAGAUGUAUAUGAUGGACAAGUAUGGCAGGAUUACCAGUAUGUGAAUUCAAUAACUGUAGUCAUGCCACUAUGCACAGUAUUUGAGCUGUGAUGUAAUUGCACAAGUUUCCUUGCUUCAUUCCCUUCCAGACAGACAUUUUGUUGUUUGACAUGUUGUUUGCAUAGAAUGCACAAAUUGAGCCUGAUUAAAACUCUGUUAAAACAAUUAAAAUUGUUGAAAUAAA